CGGGCGUCUACCCCUCUGCAGAGCCGGGCAGCGCGGCUCCGCCCAGGGCAGCCGGAGCUGCGGCGCUGGGGACGGUGAGGUCUCCCUCUCCAGCUCUCGGCCUCUGCUCAGGGAGACACUAGCAGUGCUGGAGCUCCUGCUGGGGUCCUGUCCCCUGCCUUUCCACCCGCCGCUCCCUGGCCCCGGGUAGAUCACCAGUUCUCCCAAAAAAAGCUGUAAUGAAAGUUUUAAAUGGAAAAGUCAGCCAACACCCUGCAAGGACGGAGCAGAAGCUCUGUGCUCUGGGCUUGGCACACGCUUUCUAGUCGGG
rnacentral:lncRNA from 1 species